rnacentral:lncRNA from 1 species
AUGUACAUGAUGUUAAAAUCUAUAUUUUUAACAUCAUGUAUUUUAACAAAACUAAAAAUAGUAAUUUUUACUUUAAUCUACUUAGUCCCUUGUAAUGAUAUAUGUCCUACUAGAGUUACAAUAUUCAUUUUGUUACUUAAAUUCUACAAACUACAUAGAAAUGUCUAUAAUUGUAUUAUUAAUAUAUUACAUUAUAGUCCAUUAAUAUUUCAUAUUCUAAACAUAAUGUGAGGUCUUUGGGUCAAAAAACUUCUCGUACACUCAUUUAAAAUUUGAAUAUAAGGUCUAACACCAGAAGCAGUUUAGACAGUGUUGCUCCAGCAUAGAUAAAUGAUAUAUAGAUAGAUGUAUAUCAGAAUGAUGGCUAAAAAGCUAUGAGCAUGGAUAAGUGAUGAUCAUAGAUUCAGAGACUGAAGGAAAAGCAGAAACAAUUGAAAAACUAAUUUUUAUAAUAUAAUAAUAAUAAGCUUAAGAUACAAAAAUAGCAUAAAUUUGAUGGCAAGAAACAUAAAAUAAAGCUAACAAUUGUAAUGAAUGUGAGGUCACAGAAAACCUCUAUAAAUAAAAAUAUAAAUAUAGAUGUGCUAGGAGAAGAUGGAUGUUGACCCAUCUUGCCCUGUCUUAACAGGCCAAUUGCAGGUCAAUUCCACAAAAAUAUAUUUGAAUGUAUUUUAGAUGCUAAAUUAGAAGGAAAAAUAAUAUAAAAAUAUUUUUAAAUUUUGUAAAACAAAAGAAAAUAGGAGAACACAGAGUUCGGACUUUAUGUAAGCU